UACGAAGGGGGCUAGCGUUGCUCGGAAUCACUGGGCGUAAAGGGUGCGUAGGCGGGUCUUUAAGUCAGGGGUGAAAUCCUGGAGCUCAACUCCAGAACUGCCUUUGAUACUGAGGAUCUUGAGUCCGGGAGAGGUGAGUGGAACUGCGAGUGUAGAGGUGAAAUUCGUAGAUAUUCGCAAGAACACCAGUGGCGAAGGCGGCUCACUGGCCCGGUACUGACGCUGAGACGCGAAAGCGUGGGGAGCGAACAGG
rnacentral:rRNA from 1 species